UACAGAGGGGGCAAGCGUUGUUCGGAAUUACUGGGCGUAAAGGGCGCGUAGGCGGCCUGUUAAGUCGAACGUGAAAUCCCCGGGCUCAACCCGGGAACUGCGUCCGAUACUGGCAGGCUUGAAUCCGGGAGAGGGAUGCGGAAUUCCAGGUGUAGCGGUGAAAUGCGUAGAUAUCUGGAGGAACACCGAUGGCGAAGGCGGCAUCCUGGACCGGCAUUGACGCUGAGGCGCGAAAGCUAGGGGAGCAAACGGG
rnacentral:rRNA from 1 species